ACUGGCCCGACCGUUCCGACACCGAGGUGCCUCCUCUGGACCUGGGCUGGACGGACACUGGUUUCUACCGCGGCGUGAGCCGGGUCACGCUCUUCACCCACCCGCCCAAGGACGAGAAGGCGCCGCACCUCAAGCAGGUGGUCAGGCAGAUGAUCCAACAGGCCCAGAAGCCUCUUCUUCCCGAAGACCCUGAGAAGAAGUUGGGACAGAGAGGUUGACCCUGUUUCACAGGCAGAAAGGGCAUCUUUAGGGACCCAAAAAUGAUCUCCUGACCUAUGCUACGCUAACAAAGAAGACCAGGGGAAGUUGCUGAUGCAUGGGCUGCUCAGGUCAUCGUAACUGCCCCGGAGUGGACUUACAGCAAGACCAUGUGUAGACUGGGAAACUCUUGGUUCUUAUUUGCAAAGCCAGAGUAAGGGGACCAAUCUGGAUAGGCUGGCAACUUGGAAGGAUUGUGCAUCCGUUUGACCACUGGACAAAUAUUUAGAGGUUUACUGCAUGUGCUAAGCAUACUUUAGUGGAAAGCAGAUACCUAAAACACACCUCUGCUCUUAAAUAGCC
rnacentral:lncRNA from 1 species